rnacentral:tRNA from 1 species
GCCAAUUUACUCAAGUGGUUAACGAGGAAUCAUUUGUAAUGAUUUGCUUUUCAGCUUCACAGGUUCGAAUCCUGUAAUUGGCU